GUGCUCACUUCAGUACACAUAGACUAAUAUUGGAAUGAUACAGAGAAGAUUAGCAUGGACCCAGCACAAGGAUGAUAUGUAAAGUAUGUCAUAUACUAGGUAUACUU